AGGACCUUUAAAUUAACCCCGUGAGGUUAAGAAGGAAUCGGUGAACCUAAGUUUAACUUGGGAGAAUCUGCAACCUCUUUACCCAACGGCGGUAAAGAGGUUUUUUAAU
rfam:Lactobacillus parafarraginis F0439 genomic scaffold Scfld777, whole genome shotgun sequence.